CCAAUAGCGUAUAUUAAAGUUGUUGCAGUUAAAAAGCUCGUAGUUGAAUUUCGGGAUUGACGUGAUGGUCAUGCCUUAAGGGGUAUGAACUGUUACUGUUGAUUUCUCACCUUCUGGAGAAACUUGAUGUCCUUUAUUGGGUGUCUUGCGGAUCCAGGACCUUUACCUUGAAAAAAUUAGAGUGUUUAAAGCAGGCAUUUUUGCUCGAAUACAUUAGCAUGGAAUAAUAGAAUAGGACGGCAUGGUUCUAUUUUGUUGGUUUCUAGGAUCACCGUAAUGAUUAAUAGGGAUAGUUGGGGGCAUUAGUAUUCAAUUGUCAGAGGUGAAAUUCUUGGAUUUAUUGAAGACUAACUACUGCGAAAGCAUUUGCCAAGGAUGUUUUCAUUAAUCAAGAACGAAAGUUAGGGGAUCGAAGACGAUCAGAUACCGUCGUAGUCUUAACCAUAAACUAUGCCGACUAGGAAUCAGACGAUGUUAAUUUUUUAAUGACUCGUUUGGCACCUUGCG
rnacentral:rRNA from 1 species